rnacentral:sRNA from 1 species
GUGUGUGGGUCUGUGACAGGGUCCAACAGGGCCUGGUCCGUGUCUGGUCCCCCAAAUCUGUCGUCCCUGCCCCCAGGUGCUUCCUCAUUCUCUUUUAAAACCCGCUUCCCGCUGAGUCUGCACCCAGGAGACCAGAGAGCACCUUGCCCUUCCAUGGAAACUCAGGCCGAUCUCGUAUCUCAGGAACCUCAGGCCCUGCUUGACAGUGCUCUUCCUUCAAAAGUUCCUGCCUUUUCCGACAAGGACAGCCUGGGGGAUGAGAUGUUGGCAGCUGCGCUCCUAAAGGCCAAGUCCCAGGUGAGCUGUGGUUCCGUUUAUCCUUUUCCUUUCCAUUUUCUGUGCAAUGACAUCCCAUUCAGAGCUUUAAACCCUGAUCUCCUCCAUCAGGCCCAUGGUUCUGUCCUGCUGAAUCAUGGACCCUCACCUUCUAUCUUGGACUCCUGUCUCUCUUCCUCCACCCUGUCCUCCCUUCCUCCCUUCCCAAAUGUGCAUUUUUCACCCCAUCCUCAGUGAUUUUUUGG